rnacentral:rRNA from 1 species
GACGAACGCUGGCGGCGUGCUUAACACAUGCAAGUCGAACGGAAAGGCCCUGCUUUUGUGGGGUGCUCGAGUGGCGAACGGGUUAGUAACACGUGAGUAACCUGCCCUUGACUUUGGGAUAACUUCAGGAAACUGGGGCUAAUACCGGAUAGGAGCUCCUGCUGCAUGGUGGGGGUUGGAAAGUUUCGGCGGUUGGGGAUGGACUCGCGGCUUAUCAGCUUGUUGGUGGGGUAGUGGCUUACCAAGGCUUUGACGGGUAGCCGGCCUGAGAGGGUGACCGGCCACAUUGGGACUGAGAUACGGCCCAGACUCCUACGGGAGGCAGCAGUGGGGAAUAUUGCACAAUGGGCGGAAGCCUGAUGCAGCAACGCCGCGUGCGGGAUGACGGACUUCGGGUUGUAAACCGCUUUCGCCUGUGACGAAGCGUGAGUGACGGUAAUGGGUAAAGAAGCACCGGCUAACUACGUG